CGGGUCUUAAUNGACUUGGUAACGCAGCUAACGCGUGAAGUAGACCGCCUGGGGAGUACGGUCGCAAGAUUAAAACUCAAAGGAAUUGACGGGGACCCGCACAAGCGGUGGAUGAUGUGGAUUAAUUCGAUGCAACGCGAAAAACCUUACCUACCCUUGACAUGGCAGAAAUCCUCGAGAGAUUGAGGAGUGCUCGAAAGAGAAUCUGCACACAGGUGCUGCAUGGCUGUCGUCAGCUCGUGUCGUGAGAUGUUGGGUUAAGUCCCGCAACGAGCGCAACCCUUGUCAUUAGUUGCUACGCAAGAGCACUCUAAUGAGACUGCCGGUGACAAACCGGAGGAAGGUGGGGAUGACGUCAAGUCCUCAUGGCCCUUAUGGGUAGGGCUUCACACGUCAUACAAUGGUACAUACAGAGCGCCGCCAACCCGCGGGGGGGAGCUAAUCGCAGAAAGUGUAUCGUAGUCCGGAUUGUAGUCUGCAACUCGACUGCAUGAAGUUGGAAUCGCUAGUAAUCGCGGAUCAGCAUGUCGCGGUGAAUACGUUCCCGGGUCUUGUACACACCGCCCGUCACACCAUGGGAGCGGGUUUUACCAGAAGUAGGUAGCUUAACCGCAAGGGGGGCGCUUACCACGGUAGGAUUCGUGACUGGGGUGAAGUCGUAANCAAGGUACC
rnacentral:rRNA from 1 species